CAACUCCCCUCCCGGGCUCCUCUCUAUCUCCCAUUUAUCUUCUGAGUCCUAUCCUCUUCAGUCCUCUAUCUCCCAUUUAUCUUCUGAGUCCUAUCCUCUUCUCUCCGAGCCUCCCACUGGCUCUCUUCUCUCUUCCUCUCUCUUGCCUUCUUCCCUUCCUCUAGAUCUGCUCUGGCUGCCGGGCACCAGCGGGUGCGGAGCUAAAUGCUGGGCGGGAUGCCGGCGCACGGUGCCGUCGCUGGCGCAAGGCCCGCCGGCUUGGCUGCGGGCACCGCCGGCGCAUUGGGGCAUGGCCUCCCUGCGUCGGAGCGAGGGCCGGGCCACCCGACUGCGAAGCGCAGGCGGGCCACCUCAGCAGCAGAGGGCACAGGAGCCCGGCCUCCCGGCGUUGGAGCGGGGGCCGGGCCACCCCGGCGGCGGAGCACGCAGGGAAAAGCUUGGACGUAGAUCGUGGACUGUGCACCCAGUGCAGCAACUACUAUGUGUCUUGAUGCCUCUUGUGAGCAUGAAUCAACAGUCAGCCAAGACAAAAGAGGAAGAGGGCCUUCUCUGAAUUGGAUAUUGUGGAUAAAGAAUCUGUAUCUGCUGAAUGGCAGCGAGAAAUGAAAUCUUGUGAGCAUUUUGUGAUUCUUGUGUAGCCUUGUGAAAUGAAAUCAUGUAAUUGUUGUGUAAUCUUGUGAUCCUUGUGACUUGUCAAAUGAAUUCUUGAUUCUUGUGUAAUGAAAUCUUGUGAUUGUUGUGACUCUUGUAAAA